UGUGGCGAAGUGGUUAACGCACCUGAUUGUGGUUCAGGCAUUCGUGGGUUCGAUUCCCAUCA
rnacentral:tRNA from 1 species